UGACAGUGUAAUUUCAGGCAAACUACUUUGCUACUCUAAGGCUCAGUCCUAAUCUGUAACACAAGGAUAAUAAUAUCUAACAAGAGACAGAACUGUUUUAAAAAUUGAAUAAAAUAAUAAAUGAAAUGUGUGUAGUACAGUGCUUAGUACAGUGUCUAGUGUCUGAUAAGUGUCCCACGAAUGGAAGCUGGUGUUAUUCUCACUCAAUUCCUUUAUGGUUGCUCUGUCUCCCACAAUCAAGCAUUUUCUUCUCUGGAACUCAAAUCUCUUGUUUCACUGGUCUCAGUCUUUUGCUGCCUUAUUUCUUCAAAUCCUGAACAAGGCACUUUCUCAUUUCCAUUUUAUAUUCUGGACAACUGAAUCAAUCACAGAUCUCCAAAUUGGGUCUCAUUGCCAGUUGGUCUCUUGAACUGUAAUCUACGCACUGCUUGAAUGAUCUUGGGUUUAUUCCUGAUGGCAGUAGAGUGAGUUUGGAGGUUACUCUUGUGAAUACACUCCUCCUCUUAACCUUCAUUUCCAACCUUCAUC
rnacentral:lncRNA from 1 species